rnacentral:rRNA from 1 species
GAUGAACGCUAGCGGCAGGCCUAACACAUGCAAGUCGAACGGUAACAGCAGAGCUUGCUCUGGCUGACGAGUGGCGCACGGGUGCGUAACGCGUAUACAAUCUACCUAUUACUGGAGUAUAGCCCGAAGAAAUUUGGAUUAAUCCUCCAUAGUAUUAUUGAAUGGCAUCAUUUUAUAAUUAAAACUACGGUGGUAAUAGAUGAGUAUGCGUCCUAUUAGUUUGUUGGUAAGGUAACGGCUUACCAAGGCAUCGAUAGGUAGGGGUCCUGAGAGGGAGAUCCCCCACACUGGUACUGAGACACGGACCAGACUCCUACGGGAGGCAGCAGUGAGGAAUAUUGGACAAUGGAGGCAACUCUGAUCCAGCCAUGCCGCGUGCAGGAAGACUGCCCUAUGGGUUGUAAACUGCUUUUAUAGAGGAAGAAACCUCCCUACGUGUAGGGAGCUGACGGUACUCUACGAAUAAGGAUCGGCUAACUCCGUGCCAGCCGCCGCCGUAACAC